CAAUAGCGUAUAUUAAAGUUGUUGCAGUUAAAAAGCUCGUAGUUGGAUUUCAAGGUGAAAGAGGGAUUACCCUCUGAAACUUAUCAGUCCGAAAGGACUGUUACUGUGAGAAAAUUAGAGUGUUUCAAGCAGGCUAUUGCAGGAAUACAUUAGCAUGGAAUAACGAGUGUGUCUAGAAUCUUGGUUAAUUCUAGAUUACGAUUAAUAGGGACAGUUGGGGGCAUUAGUAUUUAAUUGUCAGAGGUGAAAUUCUUGGAUUUAUUAAAGACUAACAUAUGCGAAAGCAUUUGCCAAGGAUGUUUUCAUUAAUCAAGAACGAAAGAUUGGGGAUCAAAGACGAUUAGAUACCGU
rnacentral:rRNA from 1 species